GAGAGUAGUACAUCGAUGGGUGACCUCCUGGGAAGGCCUCGUGUUGAAGCCC
rnacentral:rRNA from 1 species